AGAGGCUGGCAGAGGAGGCGCUGGCAGAGACGCCAGGUGGGUCUGCGCUUUGGGACGGGAACCUCACAGCCACAGUCACGUCCCCAGAAAAGGGAACACAGGACUUGGAGACGUUUCGAUGUUUUCAAGACCUGGGAAACGUGUUUAAAGGCAAACAGCAAAGCUUGACCAUGUAGAGAUAGAUGUCCUUCCUAUUUAGCAAUUCACUCAGAGAGAAGAGAACGCGUGAUUUGGGGGCAGAAGAGAAAGAAACUGAGUUGAGAAACAGAAAAUUCAGAUUUUCUAAAAGCGUCCAGAAGUGAACAGUGAGUAAAAACGCCCCACGUGACACUGAGAAAUGUCCCCAGAGCCGCGCAGUCCCAAGGCCGCCAUUGAAAAGUCUCCACGCUGGAACUGCUAUUUCCAGCACUUACUGUCAGGGACUGAGUUUGAGUUUGCGUUUUGCAAACCAUCUCCUCCAUCGUUUUGGUUUUCCACAGUGACGCAAAGAGUUGCCCUCCCUCUCUGGUUUCUUAUGGCGGCUGGUUUCCUUCCAUCUUUUUCAAAUAACGCAUUUCCACUUAGCUGGUGCCGUCUUCUGGGAUUAAUUAGUGACUGCGCAAGGUACACGGGGUUUCCGCGGCCGGCACCUCUUGACAGACGGCAGUUGGAAAGAAAUGGGAAAUGAUUGCAGAGAUGGUAAUUUAUUUUUCUAGGAAGAAAAAAAAAGACCUAAAUUAUAGGAACCAACAGUCCCUGUUGCUGGAAAAUGCUGGGGAUCUGGAGUGAAUAAAUAUUCCUGAGAUGAGACGACCGUGACCUUGUGUGGGGAGCUUGGGGCAAUCACCUGGAUAACACGAGCCAGGAGAGGGCAGGGAUGGAAGAAAACAUUUCUGAAGCUCAUUCAUCCUGAAAUGCCUGGGUCAGACAGUUGACUCUGUGGAUGCCGCCAGAAUUCAUCUCAGAGAGAGGCAGGCACAGAGAAAUAUUCCAGCUGAGCGGAGCCACCAGGAAAUGUGCGCUCCACAGAUCAGGCUCCAAGUUGCAGGUGCACACGUGUGUGUACAUGUGUGUGCAUGUAUGUGCAUGUGAAGGCAACAUGACAGCCCUGAGGUGAGGCCCAUCCCCAGGCCUCCCGAGGCUCAGGUGGUCCCUUGAAGGGGGCCUGCAGGCACCCAGCAUGCAGACACACCGCCAUUGAGCCCUCGCGUUGCUAGUCUAAUUCUCUCCGCCUGCAGAGUGGGUGCUGUGAUGCCCAUUGAAGAGAUGAAGAAGCCAAGGCUCAGAGAGGUACAGGAACUUGUCCAGGGUCACAUUCAUUUGGCAGGGCAGCCAGGGUUUAAGCCCAGGUUUUUCUGUAAAGGCUGCGUGUGGCCUGGCCCACGGUAUUUGCAGCCACAGAGCAGGCUGCGUUUUAAAUCCACCAAGGGCAGCAGGGGGGCUGGGCGGGAGCAGCGUCCCUGGGGCUCACGGAAGCGCCGAGCGCCCCCCAGUCCUCACUGGGCUGUGGUGUGGAGCAUGAAGGGCUAAUUUCAUGGCUGAUAAAACUCUCUAUGCACGAGACUUCACAGACAAAUGAGAGCACUGCUCUGCUCCUUUUCAUGAGGACAUUUAUUUUCUCCUUUCCUUGGGAAGGCACUUCUUCCGGCCUUCCUCAGUCCUGGCCCCUGCAGCUGUGCAAAGGAGGAUCAGGGCUUCUGUGAUGGAAGUGCAGACACCAGGACAGAAAAGUGGCUGGUUCAGGGAGGAGGGCCGGGCCAUGCUCCCUGCUGGGAGCAGAUGGGGCCAAGAGGGAGGCUGGUGGGAGGAUCUGGGUAGCUCUGAAGGAUGCUCCGUGUUAUCCUGAAGGGGCGCAUCCUCAUCGGGUUUGAAACAAUGGGACUUGGUUCAAUGGAGAAAUGAUCUCAUCAGCCUGUUUCUCCUCAUGGCCUUCCCCAGCCAUACCCUGCUUUGCGAGGAAUUCUCCAGGAUGCGGGCAAUCAUGGCCUGCUCCAGAAGGCCUUCCGGAGUGCUCUGGCUCACUGGCAUCUCCUUUUCUCAGAACCCUAUCCGAGACCGACUCUCCUAACCUCUGGCCCUCUCCUAACCUCCAUGGGCCAGGAUCUGGCAUUUCAGGAGAUUCUCACUGGAGACCCCCCGUGUGCCCCAUAGUGCAGACGAGGAAGCUGAGGUUCGGUCUGUUGGGUGUGAUCCCAGCUGCCAACUGAUGGAGCCUGAUGAGGUCCACCAGCCGUCUGGUCCACGUCCAGCACCGGGGCUGGCUAGGUCACGUGACUGAACUUUUCACAGUCCUCUCUCUUACCCGAGCACUUCAGUAUGUUUGAUUUUUCUCCUUAAUUAUGCUAGAGGCUUCUUGGGAGCAGAUACCAUAUUUUCUUUCUCUUGCACCCUCUCUCCAGUGUGAAACAUAGACACACACAUCCAUGGAAGAGAGAGCAACACACACACACAACACAGAGACACAAAGAGCCACCCACAGAUAAACACACACAAGACACACACAGAAUACACAUAUGAACGCACAUGUCCAAACCCACACUCGAGGCUAUGUGUGCAUGACGUCUGCACACACAAAUAUGGUCACUGACGUCCCCUCCCCGAGCACACAGGCCUGACAAGGAAAGAAAGCUGUAAAAGGGAUUUUAGCAGAAAGCAGGACCAAUGACAGGACCAGCGCCCGCCUUGUGAGUCCUGGGCUCAGCAACAUUUGGCCCCUCCUGCCACCUCUGGGUCUGGCAUGUGUGAGUGGCCUGGCUCUGGAAUCAGUCACUGGCCUGUGCAUCCAGCAAGUGCCAGGAACUCUCCCAGCCUCAGUUUCCCCCUCCGUCACAUGUGGUUAGCCUGCCCUGCUCAUGGAUCAUUGUGAGGAUUAGAUGAGAGAACAGAUGCCAUAACGUCUGGUUCACAAGAAGCAGAGCUCUCAUUUCUCCCUGAGCGAGGAGCCUGACGGUUCAGAAGGGCCAUGGGGAGGCCGGAAAGGGGACACAGAGAGUUUCACAAACUGACAUUUAAAAAAAAUUAAAACUGUAUCAUUUAUAUCACAUUUUUCUUAUUUUAUAGGUAAGAUACAGUCCGUUUUAAAUAUUUUAGAAAACCAGAAUCAUACUGAGAAGAAUAUUUUUAAAGUAACCCCACCCCGUCAUCCACUGACUCACUCCACGAGCUCUUCUGAGAGCUGCCUGUGCUGGUCCCGUUUCAGGCCCUGGGGUCCAGCUUGAGCGAGAUAGGGAAAGCACCUGCGCGGAAGGUUCUGGGGGGAGAGGGCGGGCCGCAGACGGGCCCACAGACAGAGGCUCCUGCUCCUGGGGCUCUCCUCGCUGUAACCGCAGCUGCACACAGAUGUGGGGAGAGUGAGGGUUGAUUGUAUGUGUCAGCUGGCCGGGGCCACAGGGCCCCAGCUAUCUGGUUCCAGACUACUUCUGGGUGUGUCUGUGAAGGUGCAUCUCC
ensembl:lncRNA